GCUUGCUGUAGGUAAUUGCUGCAUGUGUAUAGUCACUUAGUGAGAUUAAAGGCAAGAAACAACAAAAGAAAAGGCACAGCUGUUUCAGAGAAUGGGCCUUUGAAAAUGUCAAACCUGCAGAAUACUUAAAUCUCAGAACCUUCCCAGUCAUCUCUUUGAGAGCUUGAAGCCAAUCUGGAACCAGAUUCAGCAUCAGGCUUGGACUGGUGCAGGGAGAAUGAAGUGAGGAGCAUCCCCAGCUCAUGCUUGCCAAUUUGAGGUCAAGGGGAGAUGACUGAAAUCAAGAUGAUGAGAACCACUGAAGAAUUCUCCUGCACUUGAUGGGAGCGAUAAACAUGCUGGCAAGAUGCUAAUAAAUGCAGUAGUAUCAAGCAGCUUUCUUCUACUUCAGCAUGAAAGGAAGCCAGAAAGAUGCAUCGCCUACUUUGGCAUCUCAGAGAAGAGCAUGAAGGGCCUGAAUGAAUCCAAAUCCCAGCACCCACAUAGAGCCCUUCAGCACACAAGUGGCUUCACAAGCAAACCAAACCUGAGGAGAAUUUCUGGCACCCCCUUUAGAUACUCUUCAAUAGAGAUGCAUUCAUUUGUUUGGUGAAUUCAAGACUUCCUACUUGAGCUCUUCAUGUCCAAGGAACAACAGAACCUGUUCCCAUGUGGCCAUCUCUGGACAGAUGUUCAGCUAAUGAGAAUGCUUCUGGGAGCAGAGAUCCAAUCCCCCCCCAGGACUGGAGACCACUCUACUUCAGGAGCAGCUGCAGCUGGUGCAGAGUCUACAGGAAAGUGCAGCUCAUCUCUAUUCUUCUGACAUUUCCAGGGCACUGCACUGACUUUGCCCCCAAGGCAAAGUGGCUACUGACACGAAUAUUUGCUUAAUCAGACUGCCACGCUAGGAACCAAUUUUGUUUGAAAUCCUUUUAAUUCUGUUUUGUACAUGCAGCCUUAAGUCCUCAUGCUGGUUAAUGGAGAGUGUUUGGAUGCCCCGUGGCAGCUUGUUAACGCUCUGUUAAUGCCAAUUACAGCAGACCGUGAGUGUGGAGAAUCAGGGUGGUUGCUCUGCUGUGGAAAGGGCAUGGUUGGAGACACAUUUCUGACAACAGUCACAAAAUGCAACAAACUUCUCAGCUGAAGGGCAACAUGUAAUGAAAUAUAGGCUGGCUUUUAGAUUUGUGAUCUACAAGCACCGUGAUGUGAGAUGGGAAAGGUUCAGAACCCUGUUUGGGCACACUGUACAUGAGAUAGGAUGACAGGGCUGCUUGAACUUAGCAUCAAAUGACCUGGUAACUUUUGCUAUGAUGAGUGAUACCAAUGGAGAUGUCAGGUGUAUAUCAUGGCUGCUCUCAAAAUAACACCUAGAGAAAGGUCCUGUAACAACAAAACCUAGAAAAUAGUCUGAGCUGGGAUCACAAGAAAGUCUGAUCUCAUCAUAAGGACAUGCUUGGAUCCAUCCAGCAGCAGAAGUUUGCAAAGGACCAAAGCAAUCCCAGGGUUUGGACUCAGCAAGCCAACAGGCUGUCAAAGGCUGUUCAAAGUUUUCAGUCACUUGGCAAUUUUUAAGCAAUUUUUAUCUGUAAAAAGAGACCACAGUGUUAUAUAAG
ensembl:lncRNA